UGGGGAAUAUUGGACAAUGGGGGCAACCCUGAUCCAGCAAUACCGCGUGUGUGAAGAAGGCCUUCGGGUUGUAAAGCACUUUAGGCGGGGAAGAAGGUUAUUAUUUUAAGAGAUAGAUAACUUGACGGUACCCGCAGAAUAAGCACCGGCUAACUCUGUGCCAGCAGCCGCGGUAAUACAGAGGGUGCAAGCGUUAAUCGGAAUUACUGGGCGUAAAGGGCGCGUAGGUGGUUGUUUAAGUGAGGUGUGAAAUCCCCGGGCUUAACCUGGGACGUGCAUCUUAUACUGGGCAACUGGAGUGCAAUAGAGGGUAGUGGAAUUUCCGGUGUAGCGGUGAAAUGCGUAGAUAUCGGAAGGAACACCAGUGGCGAAGGCGGCUGCCUGGAUUGACACUGACACUGAGGCGCGAGAGCGUGGGGAGCAGACA
rnacentral:rRNA from 1 species